GCCCAGGUGGUGGAAUUGGUAGACACAAGGGACUUAAAAUCCCUCGCAGGCAACUGCAUGCCGGUUCAAGUCCGGCUCUGGGUACCA
rnacentral:tRNA from 1 species